UCAUUCUUGCCUCUGCAUAGCAUGGUGUCCACAAACCACCUCACAUCACGCCUCAAUGCUAACUUGCGGGCUUUUUGUGAGCUGUCUCACGGUACUUGAAGGGCAAUUGGAUGUGUGCAGCAAAAUGAAACAACAUAUUGAGGAAGUCAGAAAGUGGGUGCACCAUGAGGGUCUUAGGCUUUUUAGGUAGGAAUAUUUUAAUAAAGAUGCAAUGUUUCUAUUAUACUUCAGAGAUUAAUCUUGAAAUUUUAUUACUUUUGGGACAAUCAAAUGGAGGUUUUUUA
rnacentral:misc_RNA from 1 species